rnacentral:rRNA from 1 species
CAGUCGCCACGGUAAUACAGAGGAUGCAAGCGUUAUCCGGAGUGAUUGGGCGUAAAGCGUCUGUAGGUGGCUUUUCGAGUCCGCCGUCAGAUCCCAGGGCUCAACCCUGGACAGGCGGUGGAAACUACCAAGCUGGAGUACGAUAGGGGCAGAGGGAAUUUCCGGUGUAGCGGUGAAAUGCGUAGAUAUCGGAAGGAACACCUGUGGCGAAAGCGGCUCACUGGACCAUAACUGACGCUGAGGCACGAAAGCUAGGGGAGCAAACAGGAUUAGAUACCCGCGUAGUCCCUGUCUCUUAUAC